GCUCAUCCAGAAGACAGAGGAUUUCGGGCGGGAGCUCGCGGCUGUCAGGGAGAGGGCCUGGGAGGAGUUUAAAACCUCCGAGGACUGCGACAAGAUAAAAGGGGAGUAUGCGUCGGGGGCGUACUUCCAUGCUCUGAAAGAAGCCCGGGCCUUCCUCCGUCAGAAGUUGCCUGACGUCACUCCAGACGACCUGAAGACAGUGCCUUCCAUUGCUGAUACAUUGGAGCUCUCGGGUUCGGAAGAUGGAGGAGGAUCGGGUGGAGAUGAUGAGGAUGGUCUUGAGGACGACGUUGAGAUCGACAUCAGCAGCCUCGACCCUCCUCUUGGCCACAUUGGAUGACUUCCCC
rnacentral:lncRNA from 1 species